rnacentral:rRNA from 1 species
UGGGGAAUAUUGGACAAUGGGCGCAAGCCUGAUCCAGCCAUGCCGCGUGAGUGAUGACGGCCUUAGGGUUGUAAAGCUCUUUUACUCGUGAAGAUAAUGACUGUAGCGAGAGAAUAAGCUCCGGCUAACUUCGUGCCAGCAGCCGCGGUGAUACGAAGGGAGCUAGCGUUGUUCGGAUUUACUGGGCGUAAAGAGUUCGUAGGCGGUCGAGUAAGUCGGGUGUGAAAAUUCUGGGCUCAACCCAGAAAC